rnacentral:rRNA from 1 species
AUGUCUUCUAGUUCUAAACGCCCUGGUAAGAAGUAUAAAUCUGGGUAUGAAAAACGUACAAAGAAGAAAAAAGCUGAAAAUCUUAUUCAUUCUCUGAAGGGGUCUCUUGAUAAAUUUGUUGUGAAAGAACCACAAGUUUCUUCCGAAAAUCAGAAUAUAGAGGCUGAUGUUGAUGAUAAUGUUGACAACAUUCAGGUUGAGAAUACUAAUCCUGAUGAGGCUAACCUCCAUGGAAAUGUCGUUGGCGCUAGUGUUAAUGAAAACAUGGAUAGUUCAUCUAAUAAGAAUAACAUGGAUGCAUCUUCCGAUGGUAAUGUUUCUUUCCGGCCAGAUAUAUUUGAUCCAAGGAAUUAUAUGUUGAGCUAA